rnacentral:rRNA from 1 species
UGGGGAAUAUUGCGCAAUGGGGGGAACCCUGACGCAGCAACGCCGCGUGAGUGAAGAAGGCCUUCGGGUUGUAAAGCUCUUUCGUUUGGGAAGAAGGUGCUUUGUUUUAAUAAAGUGAAGUAUUGAUUGUACCAAAAGAAGAAGCACCGGCAAACUUCGUGCCAGCAGCCGCGGUAAUACGAAGGGUGCGAGCGUUGUUCGGAAUUACUGGGCGUAAAGGGUUCGUAGGCGGGAGUGCAAGUCAAGUGUGAAAUCCCCAGGCUUAACCUGGGACGUGCAUUUGAGACUGUGUUUCUUGAGUAUCGGAGAGGGUGGUGGAAUUGCUGGUGUAGGAGUGACAUCCGUAGAGAUCAGCAGGAACACCGGAGGCGAAGGCGACCACCUGGCCGGAGACUGACGCUGAGGAACGAAAGCGUGGGGAGCAAACAGGAUUAGAUACCCCGGUAGUCC